GUAUUACUCACUUCGGCAGCACAUAUACUAAAAUUGUGAUACAGAGGUGAUUAGCAUGGCCCCUGAACAAGGAUGACAUGCAAUUUCAUGAAGAGGUCCAUAUUUUU